GUGGGGAAUAUUGCACAAUGGGGGAAACCCUGAUGCAGCCAUGCCGCGUGUGUGAAGAAGGCCUUCGGGUUGUAAAGCACUUUCAGCGAGGAGGAAAGGUUGAUGCCUAAUACGUAUCAACUGUGACGUUACUCGCAGAAGAAGCACCGGCUAACUCCGUGCCAGCAGCCGCGGUAAUACGGAGGGUGCAAGCGUUAAUCGGAAUUACUGGGCGUAAAGCGCACGCAGGCGGUUGGAUAAGUUAGAUGUGAAAGCCCCGGGCUCAACCUGGGAAUUGCAUUUAAAACUGUCCAGCUAGAGUCUUGUAGAGGGGGGUAGAAUUCCAGGUGUAGCGGUGAAAUGCGUAGAGAUCUGGAGGAAUACCAGUGGCGAAGGCGGCCCCCUGGACAAAGACUGACGCUCAGGUGCGAAAGCGUGGGGAGCAAACAGGAUUAGAAACCCUAGUAGUCC
rnacentral:rRNA from 1 species